rnacentral:misc_RNA from 1 species
AAGUCGUAACAAGGUUUCCGUAGGUGAACCUGCGGAAGGAUCAUUACCGAGUACCGGGUCCUCUGGGCCCCUGCUCCCACCCUUUGUGUACCUACCAUUUUUCGUUGCCUUGGCGGGGUAGAUCCCGAGCCCUUCACAGGGCUUGAGGGGACUCGUCAGGGGGACAUGCCUAAACUCUUGUCAACAGUGACGUCUGAGCGACAAAAUAAACUAGUCAAAACUUUCAACAACGGAUCUCUUGGUUCUG